UAGCUUUGGUUUGUGAGUAAAUUUGACCUUAAGGACCUGUUAUCACACAUGGCAGUUACUUAAUGGCAAACAAGAAGUAUCAAUUGUGGGACGGUUCAUUCAGGAAACAGGAAAGGAUAUGAGGAAGUACAUGUUCCAGUACCACAACCCUUCGAUUCAGAUGAGAGGCUGAAGUGAUAUAAUAUGAAGGUUGAGGAGUUGACAGGAGCUCUCAGGUGACCAAGGAACAGAUAAAUGCCACACAGAUCGUUGUUUGCACGCCAGAGAAAUGGGAUAUCAUCUCUAGGAAAGAAGGGGAGAGAACUUAUACACAACUUGUCAGAUUAAUGAUCUUUAACCAUAAGAAACAUGGAAACUACACAAGAAGAUGUACGACUUGUUGGUCUCGGUGCCACACUACCAAACUACGAGGAUGUAGCAACCUUCCUGCGCUUGGAACCCUCUGAAGGUCUGCUCUUUUCCGACGACAGUUUCCAACCUGUACCACUAGAACAACAGUUUAUCGAUAUAACUGUGUGGAAACCGAUGAAGAGGUUCGAGAUAAUGAAUGAGGUUGUAUAUGAAAAGGUUAUGGAACAUGCAGGCAAUAAUCAGAUCAACGUUGAGAGUGGAAUUGACAAUUACACCAGACUUUCAGUGGGAUGAGAAGUUGCAUGGUUCAUCAGAAGCUUUCUGGAUCCUGGUGGAGGAUGUGGACAGUGAAGUUAUACUGCAUCAUGAAUACUUUCUUCUCCAGAAGACUACAUUUCUGUGCGGAAGGAUUAAAAAACUCCACCAGACUAGCGGCCAUAAAAGAUGUCAGUGGGAAAUUCAAACAUAGACUAGAUACUUUGAUGUGUAGCAAAAAAGUUCAUUGUUGAUGGUGGUGUUUUUCUAUGAUAUAUUGACUGGGGUAGUAUUACUCUUCAGAAAUACAGAGCUGUCAAUGCUGCAAUUUUGUUGUGAAAUUCACAGUCCAUGUCCAAAAGUGCUUGUUUUACCAUACAGCAAAGAAGGAGAAAUUGUAGUGGGCCGACACCUUCUGACAAAUGGAUAGGAGCAGAGACAUUAUUACCAAUUUUCAAGUUUAUUUUGAAGUCAAGGCCCUCAGGGGCAUUGGACAAACAUAACAAACAAUGCAACAUACAACAACAUGGCAUAUGGAACAAGAUGUCAUUAUUGUGAACAGUGUACAAGGAGGAUGAGAACCAGUUUCAUUCCAUCACCUGAUACUGCCGGAGAAGUAUACCCCACCAACAAAGUUGUUAGAUCUCUGCUUUGAGAAAUCCCAAUGCAGUGAAGACUUUACAUUCUUCAACCCAGUACAAACACAAGUUCGAGGCGGACAGUUUCCUCGUAUCACUCUGAUAGCUGCUGCAGAGCUGAACAGUGGACAUUCCUUCAAUACAUACGUUUUACCUAAAACACUGAUCACCUCAAAAGCCCAACAACUUACUGGAAUUGUAAUGUCAGGUAGUAACUCUGUGUUAGUAAAUGGAAUGCCAGUGGAAGCAGAAUUUAUAACUACAUCACUGGAAAAGUUUUGUAAAUGGCUAGAACAAUUUGACAAUGUCAUUCUGGUAGCCCGCAAUGGCAGAAGAUUUGACAGUAGCUUGUUGUAAAAUUCUUCAGAGUUUUUUUUAAAUGUGUGUCUGGAUUUGUUGAUUCUCUAACAGUUUUACGCAAACCUUUUCCUGACAGUUUCUCGUACAAACAAGAUCUUGUACAAGAAUUUUGAGUGAAAGUUAUGGAGAGGGAGAGUGAAAGCUAUGGAGCACAUAAUGCCAUGGAGGAUGUUAAAGCAUUAGGAAAUCUUUUAAAACACGUGUCAAUAAAGCCUAAAACAAUGCUUUCAUUUAAUUAUUCUCCAAAAUCUGUACAUGAAAUAUUCAGGCCUCAACCUAAAUCAUUUGAAAAUAAUUGUCAAGCACAAGGGAGAAGAUGGGUUGAAGAACACGUACAUUGUUGAUAUAGUGAAGGACAACCAUGUGUUACAAACACAAAGAGGACAUUAGAGAGAGUUAUUCCAAACCUUGUGGAGUACUUAAGAAAUGAUUUUAUCAUACCUCAUAGCUUAUGCUCCAUAUUGUAAUUUUAAAAGAGUAAGAAAUGUUCAAAAAUGAUGUCUCUUGAUCUGUAUGUCAAGUUUUAUGCUUUGAUUUGGUUAUCUUUUUUGAACUCUUAUAACAUAUUAUUAUAUGUGUAUGAACAUUUUACUUUAUUAAAAGGAUAAUAUUACUACUA